rnacentral:rRNA from 1 species
UAGGGAAUCUUUCACAAUGGGCGCAAGCCUGAUGGAGCAACGCCGCGUGAGUGAAGAAGGUCUUCGGAUCGUAAAACUCUGUUGUUAGAGAAGAACAUGCGAGAGAGUAACUGUUCUUGUAUUGACGGCAUCUAACCAGAAAGCCACGGCUAACUACGUGCGAG